UAGGGAAUCUUCGGCAAUGGACGAAAGUCUGACCGAGCAACGCCGCGUGAGUGAAGAAGGUUUUCGGAUCGUAAAACUCUGUUGGUAAAGAAGAACGUUGGUGAGAGUGGAAAGCUCAUCAAGUGACGGUAACUACCCAGAAAGGGACGGCUAACUACGUGCCAG
rnacentral:rRNA from 1 species